UUGGUGCACUCCCGUAGGAGAAUAGUUAAGUACAUUAUGGCAUAUCCUUUGCUAGGAGAAUUAGGUGGCGUCGAAAAGGUCGACGGGUCUUGCAGAGACAGGGACCUGCCCACCCUCGUGCGCCUUCGCGCACUGAUGGGAAGCCAACACCGUGGAGUCGUCGGGAGCCCCAGGAAGCAGGUCUCAGGCCCGACGGUCCUACGUGUCUAGGAGUGGAAGCCCAGAAAGGGGAAGUGACUUGCCCAAGAAAACAGUGCAUGAAACCAAGAUCUAAAUCUGCUGCUUGGGAUCUUCCUGCUGGUCCUUGACAAUGCAAGAAGUUCCAAUGCUGGAUAAACUUGAUGAAGACCUCAGCUGCCAAUCAAAUCUAGCCAAGAGCCAAUACUCGAGCUGUGAAAUAAUUCAUUAGUACAUUGUCUAGUGCUGAAUCCAUUUUUACUUAGCUGUUCGAUAUGUAACAAGAUCAAAUCAGAGUGGACUCUUGGCACUCAUUCCUAGCUGCCUCAUUGGAAAAGACACGAGCUAGCUUGAUAAUGAUGAAGCAUGAUGCUCGGGGGGGAUGAGGGGGUGAGGGGUGGGGUUUCGCAGUGGUAUCCUAAGGAAGUGUUGAUCCAGUGGGCCUUUCUCGGCUGAGAAUGCCUUUCUUCCAAUUUUUGUUUCUUCAUGUCCACCUUUGAAGCCAGGGGCAGUGUUUGGAGAAGGACAUGCUCUCUCUUCCAUAAAUCUUUCCUUGUGUCCUUACCCCAUUUUGGUUAUUCACCAUCUACAGAAGGUGAGCCUAUGGAUCCCUGAGGCCUACUUCA